rnacentral:rRNA from 1 species
CGCCGCCGCGGGAAUACGUAGGGUGCGAGCGUUAAUCGGAAUUACUGGGCGUAAAGCGUGCGCAGGCGGUUUUGUAAGACAGGCGUGAAAUCCCCGGGCUCAACCUGGGAAUGGCGCUUGUGACUGCAAAGCUAGAGUGCGGCAGAGGGGGAUGGAAUUCCGCGUGUAGCAGUGAAAUGCGUAGAUAUGCGGAGGAACACCGAUGGCGAAGGCAAUCCCCUGGGCCUGCACUGACGCUCAUGCACGAAAGCGUGGGGAGCAAACAGGAUUAGAUACCCCGGUAGUCCCUGUCUCUUAUACC